GCCCCAUCAAAAGCGAGCUAUCUAGUUUAAUUUUAAGAGAGGAUAGAUGCCAUAAGUUAAUUGCUCCAAAAUGGUUGUAUCAAGUAUGUCUCUGAUUUUAAUGUGGUUACACCAGCAACGGCCAUCUAGGGUGGCUAUUUGCAAGGUAAGUAUGUGUUGGUUGGACUGGAUAUGCUGAACAGUGGCCCUCAUACAAGACAUACUGCAUUAGAGCAGAUGAUAUUAUUU